CCUACGGGAGGCAGCAGUAGGGAAUAUUGGGCAAUGGACGCAAGUCUGACCCAGCCAUGCCGCGUGCAGGAAGAAGGCGUUAUGCGUUUGUAAACUGCUUUUAAUACAGGAAGAAACGACUCUUGCGAGAGGCAUUGACGGUACUGUAUGAAUAAGCACCGGCUAACUCCGUGCCAGCAGCCGCGGUAAUACGGAGGGUGCAAGCGUUGUCCGGAUUUAUUGGGUUUAAAGGGUGCGCAGGUGGUUUAUUAAGUCAGUGGUGAAAGACGGUCGCUCAACGAUUGCAGUGCCAUUGAAACUGGUAGACUUGAGUAAAGUAGAGGUGGGCGGAAUUGAUAGUGUAGCGGUGAAAUGCAUAGAUAUUAUCAAGAACUCCAAUUGCGAAGGCAGCUCACUUGGCUUUUACUGACACUCAUGCACGAAAGUGUGGGUAUCAAACAGGAUUAGAUACCCUGGUAGUCCCACACUAGUAACGAUAGUAUAACUAGGUGGUCGGCCGAACUCUGGUCGGUGCCACAGCGAAGACGUUAAGUUAUCCACCGUCGGGAGGACGCCGGCCGAACGGUAGAAACGUACGAAAGAAAGUUAGACGGCGUAGAGACGUUAGGCCGACGGACGACGACGAGGGGAGGUAGGG
rnacentral:rRNA from 1 species